AAUGAACGCUGGCGGCAGGCCUAACACAUGCAAGUCGAACGGAUCCUUCGGGAUUAGUGGCGGACGGGUGAGUAACGCGUGGGAACGUGCCCUUUGGUUCGGAAUAGCCUCGGGAAACUGGGAGUAAUACCGGAUAAGCCCUUCGGGGGAAAGGUUUAUCGCCAAAGGAUCGGCCCGCGUUGGAUUAGGUAGUUGGUGGGGUAAUGGCCUACCAAGCCGACGAUCCAUAGCUGGUUUGAGAGGAUGAUCAGCCACACUGGGACUGAGACACGGCCCAGACUCCUACGGGAGGCAGCAGUGGGGAAUCUUAGACAAUGGGGGAAACCCUGAUCUAGCCAUGCCGCGUGAGCGGUGAAGGCCUUAGGGUUGUAAAGAUCUUUCAGUUGGGAAGAUAAUGACGGUACCAACAGAAGAAGCCCCGGCUAACUCCGUGCCAGCAGCCGCGGUAAAAC
rnacentral:rRNA from 1 species